GUCCUGAUAUCUGGAAUAACACUCCGAAAGGUGUGCUAAUACCGGAUACGCUGAGAAAUCAGGAAAGGUGGCCUCUUCAUGAAAGCUACUGUAUCAGGAGGAGCUUGCGUACCAUUAGCUAGUUGGUGGGGUAAUGGCCUACCAAGGCAACGAUGGUUAGCGGGUCUGAGAGGAUGAUCCGCCACACUGGAACUGGAACACGGACCAGACUCCUACGGGAGGCAGCAGUGAGGAAUAUUGCGCAAUGGGGGCAACCCUGACGCAGCGACGCCGCGUGGAUGAUGAAGGCCUUCGGGUCGUAAAAUCCUGUCAGAUGGAAAGAAAUGUCAUAUGCCUAAUAUGUGUAUGAUUUGACGGUACCAUCAAAGGAAGCACCGGCUAACUCCGUGCCAGCAGCCGCGGUAAUACGGAGGGUGCAAGCGUUGUUCGGAAUUACUGGGCGUAAAGCGCGCGUAGGCGGCUUUUUAAGUCAGAUGUGAAAGUCCACGGCUCAACCGUGGAAGUGCAUUUGAUACUGGGAAGCUUGAGUACUGGAGGGGAUGGUGGAAUUCCCGGUGUAGAGGUGAAAUUCGUAGAUAUCGGGAGGAAUACCGGUGGCGAAGGCGACCAUCUGGCCAGAUACUGACGCUGAGGUGCGAAAGCGUG
rnacentral:rRNA from 1 species